UACUCGCUUCUGGUCGUCUGCACGGCAGCCGCCGUCUCCCUUUUCACCAGCAGCCACCGACAUUGCAGCUGCUGUGGUUUGCUGUUUCUUGUACUCGAGAGGGAAAAACGGUGGCUGCCUUGACAAUGAAGGGAACUCGCUUCCUGCUCGACUCAGUGACAGUCAAGCAGGCCACCGCCGCUGCGCACCAGAUCAUGGAUCACCCGCGAAACUACAGCGCCGCUUUGCUGAGCACAGUCCUCUUUUCUCCAGAGCGUAUUCAGGAGCGGCGAGAGGGAACACUCGUUUUCCCGUGGAAGGCAAAACGUGGCAGUCAUAACAGCGUCAAUUCUGUCCAUGGCGGGGCCCUGUCCAGCUUGGCAGACGCCUUCACAAAGAUUCACGUCCGCGCACAUCUGCCGCAGACGUGUGUGGAAUCGGUGAGCUUGGAAAUCAGCUUCCUAUCCGCCGUGUUCGAGGACAAAAAGUGUAACUGCAUGACGCGACUCGUGCGCCAGGAGGGCAACAUCGUCUUUACAGAUUUCUCGUUCGAGGACGAAAGCAGCGGCGAGGUGUACGCACGUGGCACUCACGUCCUCUCAGCUAGCCCGCGUAUCGGGAGCUGAGCUGGAGUAGCCAGCGUCAGACAUGCAGAGCGUGUGAAAGUCUUUUCCAGGAUGCGUUUUUGUGGUGUGCAUCUACCUGAGCAUCAUCCGCUAACGUGCAGCCUACUUUCUUGGGUGCGUAUCGGUCUUGGUGCCACAUUUGCGUAUUGUGUCGAUGGUGCUUCCUCGCCAUUAUGUCCGGCGUGCAUGCUUCAAGAAUACCACGCCAGAUACCGCGGUGACGUGGAGGGAUCGGGCAGCCCAAGUGGCAAGCGAGCCUCAUUCACGUCAGCGGGAGAGAAAGUGAGCGGGGGGGGUCAUGUGCAUGACGGUGGAUGAAUGACGCCCGUCUUGUGUCCGGAACUCAUUGUGCUGGUGCGCGCCCUGUUCAGACGCUGCGGCACUGUCUGAUGCUGCGCGUUCGUUGCAGUUUUUUUUUUUCUCUUGUGGUUUACUGCGGUUUACGUCUGCGCCCAUGAUGACUCACUGUUGACGAUCGUCAGUGUUGCCUAUUGCGGGGCUCUUUGCAUGUGUGGUCAACGCCGACCUCUUCCGUUUUGCCACGUCGCGCAUUCUUCGGAUCUCCUUCCAAUCUCACCUUCCUCUCGCUCACGCUUUUCUCUCCGCCGUUCGACUGCUGCAG
rnacentral:misc_RNA from 1 species